UACGUAGGGGGCAAGCGUUGUCCGGAUUCAUUGGGCGUAAAGCGCGCGUAGGCGGCUCCGCAAGUCGGCCGGGAAAUCUCCGGGCUCAACUCGGAGGGGUCGGGCGAGACUGCGAGGCUCGAGGUGGGCAGAGGGCAGUGGAAUUCCGGGUGUAGUGGUGGAAUGCGUAGAGAUCCGGAGGAACACCAGUGGCGAAGGCGGCUGCCUGGGCCUGGCCUGACGCUGAGGCGCGAAAGCGUGGGGAGCAAUCCGG
rnacentral:rRNA from 1 species